rnacentral:rRNA from 1 species
UGAGUAACACGUAAACAACCUGCCUUCAAGAUGGGACAACAGACGGAAACGACUGCUAAUACCGAAUACGAUCCGAAAGUCGCAUGACAUUUGGAUGAAAGGGUGGCCUAUCGAAGAAGCUAUCGCUUGAAGAGGGGUUUGCGUCCGAUUAGGUAGUUGGUGAGGUAACGGCCCACCAAGCCGACGAUCGGUAACCGGUCUGAGAGGAUGAACGGCCACACUGGAACUGAGACACGGUCCAGACUCCUACGGGAGGCAGCAGGG